rnacentral:misc_RNA from 1 species
ACAAACUUGGUCAUUUAGAGGAAGUAAAAGUCGUAACAAGGUCUCCGUUGGUGAACCAGCGGAGGGAUCAUUACCGAGUUCAUGCCUGCUUGCAGGUAGAUCUCCCACCCUGCGUACGCUACCUGGUUGCUUUGGCAGGCCGUGCCCCAGUGGCCGGCGGGCCUCUUCGGAGGCUGGCGUGUGCCUGCCAGAGGCCAAACACAACUCUUGUUUUAGCAUGCUGUCUGAGUGAUUACCAAAUAUAUCAAAACUUUCAACAAAGGAUCUCUUGGUUCCGGCAUCGAUGAAGAACGCAGC